AAGGACUUAAAACAACUCAACCAUCACGAAAAUCGCUAUAACCCGCAUUUAAGCUUCGGAAUCCGCUUGCAAGCACUGAAAUCUCAAGGACCACACAAUAGUGACUUCUCAAAACUCAAAGACAAACGAACAGAGCUUAAAGAAAAAUCCAAGCAACUAGAAAGUACUAAAGACUAAAAACCCUAGAUGGUAAUCUAAGUGAAAAUGAGAGAACCAAAACGUCCCCUCCAACUAAAAUUCGCCAUCAGACCUUGAUCGUGCUCUCCACGCACCUCCUACGCG
rnacentral:lncRNA from 1 species